CGCGGUCGCUUGCGUGUCAUGUUGACAAACGCUAAAAACGGAGCUGGCAACAUGUCCGCCACUGCUGCUGCUCAGCAAAACAAUAACGAGGAGCCUAGCCUCAACGGGUCGUGGGUGGAGCUGGAGAUGAAUGGAAACAACAGGAACCAGGCCCUGCUGCCAAACUCCACCACACCCUCUCCUGCCCCGGGGAAUGGGAAUGAGGGGCAGAGUCAGGCCCUGGAGGUGGUGUCAGAGGAGGUGGAGGAGAGUCUGACAGCGGCGCUGGAGCAUGUGCCCUCAUCCUCCUCUAUCCACAAUGGAGACAUGGAGAAAAUCCUGCUGGACGCUCAGCACGAGUCCAGCCAGAGCAGCUCCUCCUGCGACAGUCCUCACAGACCUCCCAGUCCAGAUCAGGAUGAUGGCCAAAUCACCUUUGAUGUGGAGAUGUCCAGUCGGAGAGGGAGCCAGUUAGAGGAGGAAGGUCCAGAGAAAAACAGAGAAGAGGAUAUCCUGAUGAACAAGGUUGCAGAUUGGUCCAGUCGGCCUGAAAACGUUCCACCCAAGGAGUUCCACUUCCGUCACCCCAGACGCUCAGUAUCCCUAAGCAUGAGAAAUAGUGGAGCCAUGAAGAAAGGGGGUAUCUUCUCUGCUGACUUCCUCAAAGUCUUCAUCCCUUCCUUACUUCUAUCUCACAUUCUUGCCCUCGGCAUUGGGUGAGUGACUGUUCCAUCUUACACAACUAGCAAAUCAAAUGGAUAUAUGUGAGUAUUUGUAGAUUGUCUGCUGUUGAAUCAUUUUCAUUAGUGCUGAGCGAUUAGUGCUUUUUUGUGAUCUGUUCGAUUAUACGUUUUUUGAUUUUGCUCUAACACACUAAAACAAUUAAAAGUCCCAUGAUGGUAGUGACUGCCCAUUAUUACUUAUUAACCAUAAUUUUCCACAUUACUUUAGUUGUGUAUUACAUUAGUUUAUUUGAUAACUUGAAAUUAUAUAAUAAAGUCAUCUUAUUUCUCUAGAGCUGCUGCAUAUGCUGUCUGACAAAAUCACUCUUUUGUAUUUCUUAAAUAAGGCGUACUUUUAUGACUGCUGAAUACCAAACUAGAUCAUGUCUUUUCAGGUAGACAUACCUUUGCAAAGCAACAGCUGCUCUCUCUAUCCUCUCACGAUUGUGCAUUCUUCUGCCUCUUCCGUAGCAGGUAUAAGAGACUGGACAAGGGUCUACAUUGGGAAGAGACUCCCCACGCCUUCCACCAGCUCUUUCUAAACCCAAAGUGAAGCAGUGCCUGGAAGUCGCAUAAAAAUUAUCCUGUUGACUAGUUGUUACAAUGUCUUCAUGUGCUUAAAUGCCCUCUUUUCCUCUGCAUCCAUUGUAUGCCUAGCUAUCUCCUUUCAACAGUUUUUUUCCCCCUUUUAGUUAUUUGUACCUCUUUAUCUGACAAUGACUUUCCCAAGUUUUUGAUGUAGCGUGCUUUUGGAGGGUUCAUAAUUCAUAAAUGACUGGGAACCUUUUACCUUUUGACACAGAUUGGCUUUGAACAGUAAUGACCACUAGCAGCACAUAAUAGUUAACAGCACAUGCCUGAAUCUGAGUGUUGUACUUCUGGACAAAAUUAUUCUUCAAAAGCUGUUGAUACUGUUCUGCACAAACACUGUGACUGGUAUUGGAUGGCACAGGGCCUGAGGGUUUUGGAAUCUCUCUUAGAUUUCUAUACAGAUUCCUUGGCUUAGACCGAGAGAUUGUGCUUUGAGAAAUCAAUAAUUCCUUUACUGCUCCCUACUCCAAGUCAGUUCAUUUCAUGGUGACUUUUACCUGAACCAAAAUAAGCUACAUAUCUGCAAUACGUCUUUCAAUUGGCAUUGAGAAUUGCAGUGACUGUGAAUCAAGUGGUAUUCUUGUUCAGAUUUGUUAUUUUAUUACAUAGUUUGGAAUAAUAUUCAGCCCAGACUUAUCAAUUCAGGAGAAGUUUGCUUCUAUUCCAGCCUACUCUAGUUAUACCUCAUUUUUGUCAUUUAGUAGCCCCAAAUAAUUUUCUCUAAAGGUGGCCUCCUGGUGAAAGGGUGUGAAUAGCUACUGCAGGUUUCCAUUGAUUAACAGGAAAACAUCCCAAUAGAUUGAUGCAGAAAGAAUAGUACAUCUAAAUGCUCUGCAGUACAGGGUAAAGCACGGGGUAAGGGAACGUUUGAAUGAAGAAUUUUUUAUAAACAGUAGUUGAUACAAAUAUACACAACCUGCCUGCUGUUCAACAACUCAAAUGUGUCAAUGCCACACAUUCUUCCUUUCGUUUGUCAUAUCUUAUUUAUUUUCUCCAAGCUGAUUCUAUAAACCUUUCGAAUGUAAGUUUUCCUGUGUGGUAACACGCCCUCAGUGUAUAGGUCCAGCCACCAUACAGAGUAGGAUGUAUUGGUUGAAGGAUGUUAUAACUGGCCACAAAUAAUUCAGUUUUGUUUGCUUUUGGUACACAAAAUGACUACUGCAUAGUGCCAAAUAUAUAGAUUUAUUUUAAUCUCAGCGCUUUCAUUACAAAGGUAACACACACAGUGAUUUCUCAACUAUUGGACAAGUUUAACUAGAAGGUUAGACUAACACAAACAGUGACAUGCACUCAUAUCUCCAGUCCUGAUAAGUCACCUACCUGGUUUUGACAUGUCCUCUGGUGAUCCAUUUUGAGAUUUUUCAUGAUUCUUAUGGUGAACAUUUUGUGUAUGCAUGAAAUAUGUUUCCAUUCCCAAUAGGCAUACAUUUCCAUAAAGCAGACCAUAUGUAAGUAAUGAUUUUUGGAUAAAUGUUUAACAAUGACCUAUUUGGUACUGAAAUAAUUUUAUGAAAUCUGAUAAAGGACCCUUUUUCUUUUUUUUGCAAUAAUAAAACGUUUUUUUUUUUUCAUACACUAAGAAAUUAUUCUCACAUAGCGUGCGAUAGGAACUCCUGGGAAAGUUAACUAUACAGAACCAGCACUCUACCACUGCUUGGUUAUUUCGGGUUUAGUUUUUUUAUCUUUGGGGGGAAGGGUGAGUGGACAAUGGGGAUAGAUGUGAUGACAGUAGUAGGGUUCUUUUUUUUGAGUGGGAUUGUUUUUUGUGCCUCUGUUCUUGGUUUGUGCCAACUCAAAGUAACUCCCAUUGCAUGCAUGCCUUUAGCUUGUAAUUGGCAUUAAUUAACUUAUUAUCAUUCAUGAGAUGCCAAAGGCUGUCAUAGCUUUCAUUUAAUAUUGGCAAGUCCAUCCUGUAUCUAACGCAGAAGAACUAUGUGCAUUAUUAUUGUUUUCAUAUUUUUUCUUUAAUAAUCCAAAAUACAAACUGAAAGAUGCUUGGCCUUUUCCUUGAACAUGUUUUGUUUGUGAUAUUGAUUCUAGUAGCAAGAACUUUCAGCCUUGUUUGAUAGUUUUUCCAAUUUUAUGAAAAUCUGACAUUAAAAUGAGAAAUUAACCGCAA